GACCGAAACUCGAACUGUAGCCUUUAUGGCUUGCGUUCCGAAAGGAUAGAGUUUCGGUUUUUU
rnacentral:ncRNA from 1 species